AUGGGAACGCGAAGAACCUUACCUACUCUUGACAUCCAGAGAACUUUCCAGAGAUGGAUUGGUGCCUUCGGGAACUCUGAGACAGGUGCUGCAUGGCUGUCGUCAGCUCGUGUUGUGAAAUGUUGGGUUAAGUCCCGCAACGAGCGCAACCCGUUAUCCUUUGUUGCCAGCGGUUAGGCCGGGAACUCAAAGGAGACUGCCAGUGAUAAACUGGAGGAAGGUGGGGAUGACGUCAAGUCAUCAUGGCCCUUACGAGUAGGGCUACACACGUGCUACAAUGGCGCAUACAAAGAGAAGCGACCUCGCGAGAGCAAGCGGACCUCAUAAAGUGCGUCGUAGUCCGGAUUGGAGUCUGCAACUCGACUCCAUGAAGUCGGAAUCGCUAGUAAUCGUAGAUCAGAAUGCUACGGUGAAUACGUUCCCGGGUCUUGUACACACCG
rnacentral:rRNA from 1 species